UGCUGCGCUAAGUUUCAGACCGUAUUUUGAACUGUUAUUUUUUUUUGCGUGAAAUAAUUCUUUUGAUAUGAAAUUAAAGACGAAAUUGCCGGUUAUCAUUUCGUAUAUCUGUUGUCCCACUUUGAACUUCCCGCGGUAUUUGUAUUUGAAGAAAUUUUGUACAUCAAUGGCUAGUACGCUGCAUUGCCGUACAUACCUACCCCUAUCUUGGGGAAUUCUUAUGAACUAAAUAUGACAGAUCGAUAGUGUGUGCAUUCCCAGCGUGUUGGUCGAAUCAAUAGUCGAUUCUUUGGAAGCAGAAUAUGACAAGUGCUGCUGCUAGUUGUUUUAGUUCUAGAUUGGAAUUAGGAAAGCACGCGGACCACGAGAAAUGGAGAAACCACGUGUAGAAAAUAGGCUAAUAGCGUUAAGCUGUGUUCGGUGACGACCAGUUAGAAUGUUUACUUCAAAGCGAUUCCGAGUAAAAUUUGUCAGAUUUAGAUUUUGACACAGAAAAUGAAUUGGAAGAUCGUGCUUUGCUUGAUACUGUGAGAAAUGAGGGCAGUCAUGAAGAUGACAGUGCUACUCAAAAGACUUAAUUUGGGAGAAUAUGGAGAACUAUAGGACACAACGGGAAAAUUUCACGGGCAGUGUUGGACCUCGAGGUGCUGCAGUACAUGUUACGGAAAUUGUAGACGUUUUUAAAUGGUUUUUCAACAAAAAACUAAUUGACACUACUGUGAAAGAACAGAUACAAGGGGCGCAAACUAUAAGUCAGGUCGCCUGCUAGGGUUUGGAAACCUGUAACAGAGGGAGAGAUUUGUGUUGUAUUGGGUAUGUUUAUGCUCAUGGGCAUUAUUCAAAAAUCUACCCCUAGGUCAUAUUUUACAACCAAACGAGUGAUUUCCACAUCAGGAUUUAGAGAGGUUACGACACGAGACAAAUUGGAAUUAAUAUGUAGAUGUUUGUAUUUCGCUUACAAUGAUACCAUCAGCAAUUUUGAAGGACCAUAGAAACUUAAAAAAAAAUGUUCCCAAUAAUUUCACGUCGUAAUAACAGAUUUCAGGAACUGUAUAUCCCAAACCAGGACAUUUCAAUUCAUGAAUCAUUGACACUCUGGAAAGGCCGUCUUUCUUUCAAACAGUACCUCCCUCACAAAGCAUCCAAAUUUGGAAUAAAAACUUAUGAGCUGUGUGACUCCACCACAGGGUAUUUAUGGUCCUUGUAUUUACUGGCAAGGAUACAGAACUAGAAUCCCCCUUGAUGCCCUUGAUCACAGCUGACACCAGUAAAACAACAGCCAUUGUCCUGAAAUUGGUAGAACCUCUUCUGAAACAAGGUCAGAAGUGUGGAUGGAUAAUUUCUAUAAUUCAUCAUCCCUAGCCAGGCUACUGAAAAUCACACACAAGACUGACUGUGUUGGGACUCUCAAUUUGAACCGCAAAAGUGAAAAACACACAAAAAAGUGAAAUAGUGGCACAGCUUUCUGAACCUGUUUCUGUCACAAAGUGGUGCAACAAAAAAAUCGUGACCCUGUUACAAUUCGAGACAAGGAAGUGGUCAAACCAGUUCAGUAUUGGACUACAACAAAUCAGUGAUAGGGGUCGAUUUGAAAUACUAGCUGCUUCACUCUUAUUUGAUUGAGAGGAAGUGUAUGAAUAAAUGGUAUAUGAAGCUAUUUCACAGGCUCUUGAACACCUCAAUUCUGAAUGCAAUAAUAUGUAGGAGUAUCACUGGCACAAAAAUAAAUCAGUUGUCAUUCAGAAUUCAGUUGACUGAAGGACUUUCUGUGAAAUAUGCAAAUGCUGUAGAACACAAAGUGCCUGGUUGACAUUUAUCAGACAACACAGUGCCCCAUCUAAUUGAAUGAAAUUUAUAAGCAGGAUUCCACCAACAACAGAGAAAUCAAGACUGCAAAAACUGUGUGUUGUAUGCCAGAAGCAAGGGGAGAAGAAGGGCACUAUGUACUGGUGUGACAUGGGGCAUGGGACUCUGCAUUGAGUGUUUUCACGACUACCUCACACAGCUGAAUUUCUAAGGGAUGUUACAACGGUAAGGAUAACAUACAUCAGUGAAUCCAGAAGGAACUUACUCUGAUGUCAGCGUACCUUCAGUGUGACUUGGACAGACUGCCACCAACCAUGGUAUAAGUUACAUCAGAUAUUGCAGCAGCAAGAGACAGGAAAUUAACAUUGGAUGUGAUGCCAGUACAUACUAACAAGUAAGCACUGGCACCAAUCCAAGAGGAGAAAGCAUAAUGGAAUAUUUGAUGAGCUCAAGCCUGAAUAUAAUUAAUUGAGAUAAAAAAAAAACUCCCUUUACGAUUUGAAACAUGAUGGGAGUUACAGACCUGACACUAAGGACCAGUGAAGUAGCCCUGAAAAUUGAGGUGAUAUGUUCUUAAAGAUUGACAGGAUCUCUCCAAACUGCAUGGUGUUACAUCUUAGAAGACCACAACUC